rnacentral:lncRNA from 1 species
UCAGACUAGAGUGUCAGCAAAAGAAUACCCCUACGGCUGUCAAACUAUAUCUACAUGUGGCCGUUCAGAAGAUCGUCGUGAGGCUCGCCCAUCUCCUCAUUCUACUCUAUCUCUAUCUCAGGGAUCCUCCUCCUCCUCAUCGUCUGCGGCUACAGCUAUACGCUUAGAUCCACCAGAAACACUGCUGUCACUAUGUACA